rnacentral:rRNA from 1 species
GCCAUAGCCCAUGGAGGGUGCUAGGCCCGUACGAUGAUUUUUGUUGUGCAAUGCGUUUCGUCCGUAGAGUCGGGUUGCUUGGGAGUGCAGCCCAAAUCAGGUGGUAAACUCCAUCUAAGGCUAAAUAUGACCACGAGACCGAUAGCGAACAAGUACCGUGAGGGAAAGUUGAAAAGAACUUUGAAGAGAGAGUUCAAUAGUACGUGAAACCUCUCGGGGGUAAGCGGGCAGAACUUGCAAGUAUUGAUAAGAGAUUCAGACUUGGUACUUUGAAGGCUGAGUAUAUUUGUUAAAUGAAUCAUUCGUGAUAAAUUGAUUUGUAUACUUUGAUCCUUUAGUAAUGCGUCGCAUUUCUCUUUAUCAUCCGGGUUGCAUGCAACUGAGUUGAUAGUUUAGGUACUGAGGUACUGCAAAUCCUUGUUGGUUUGAGUCUUAGUUUCCAACUAUUUAUGCGGUUGUUGAAAGCGAACAAGCGUUUUACGCGGUCAAUUAUUUUCACGAGUCGUGUACAUGUUAUAUAUGGACGGGUAACCGUAAUAUGUUAUAUGUACUGGUUGUCAGUGAGAGUAACUAUUGGCAUUGUUCAGUAUUGCAAUCUAAAGCAUGCGUGGUCUGCCUGUCCCGUCUUGAAACACGGACCAAGGAGUCUAACAUGUAUGCAAGUCAUUGAGAAUGUUAAACUCAAAGGCGUAAUGAAAGUGAAGAUCCAAUUUUAUGGAUUUGAGGAGAGAUCAUAUCUUUUGUUUAGUAUUCCGUAAGGUUUAUUGAAAAAAGUAUGCGCAUCUCCUGGACGUCUUAACCUCUGAAGGUGGGGCGUACCUAGAGCAUACACGUUGGGACCCGAAAGAUGGUGAACUAUGCCUGGUCAGAACGAAGUCAGGGGAAACCCUGAUGGAGGUUCGUAGCGAUUCUGACGUGCAAAUCGAUCGUCGGAACUGGGUAUAGGGGCGAAAGACUAAUCGAACCAUCUAGUAGCUGGUUCCCUCCGAAGUUUCCCUCAGGAUAGCUGGCGCUUAUACCAGUCUCAUCCGGUAAAGCGAAUGAUUAGAGGCCUUGGGGCCGAAACGACCUCAACCUAUUCUCAAACUUUAAAUGGGUGAGAAGUCAGGCUUGCUUGAUCGAAGCUCUGACAAUGGAUGGUGAGUGCCAAGUGGGCCACUCUUGGUAAGCAGGACUGGCGCUGUGGGAUGAACCAAACGUUGAGUUAAGGCGCCCGAAUCGACGCUCAUGAGAUCCCAUAAAAGGCGUUGGUUGCUUAAGACAGCAGGACGGUGGCCAUGGAAGUCGGAAUCCGCUAAGGAGUGUGUAACAACUCACCUGCCGAAGCAACUAGCCCUGAAAAUGGAUGGCGCUGAAGCGUCGUGCCCAUACUCAACCGUUGAGUCAUAGAGGUAUUUGUAAUAUAAUAUCCGCGAGGACUCAACGAGUAGGAGGGUCGUGGUGGUGUGCGUUGAAGGGUCUGGGCGUGGGCCUACCUGGAGCCGCCAUCAGUGCAGAUCUUGGUGGUAGUAGCAAAUACUUUGGAGAGGCCCCGAAGGACCGAUGUGGAGAAGGGUUUCGUGUGAACAGCCGUUGUACACGAGUCAGUCGAUCCUAAACCCGACGAGAAGUCGGUAUCACUGUAAGGGAGUUUAAUUGUUUUAUUAUUUAAUCAUGGAUCCCUACUUUGAUAAGGUGAAAGGGAAUCUGGUUUCAAUUCCAGAACCCGGUGUCGGAACCGCUCUUUUCGAUACAUUCCUUGUGGGUGUAUCGUCGGGGUAACCCAAAAAGACCCGGAGAAGCCGUUAGAACCCUCAGGAAGAGUUUUCUUUUCUGCAUGAGCAACUAAGCGCCCUGGAAUUCCUUCACGGAGAGAUAGGGUCAAGGUUGCGAAGAGCGUCGCAGUUAUUGUGACGUCUGAGGUGUUUUACCGGACCUUGA